rnacentral:rRNA from 1 species
GUGUCAGCAGCCGCGGUAAGACGUAGGGAGCGAGCGUUGUCCGGAUUCAUUGGGCGUAAAGAGCGCGCAGGCGGUUUGGUAAGUCGGAUGUGAAAUCCCGGAGCUCAACUCCGGACCUGCAUCCGAAACUGCCCGACUAGAGGUAGGUAGGGGAGAUCGGAAUUCCUGGUGUAGCGGUGAAAUGCGCAGAUAUCAGGAGGAACACCGGUGGCGAAGGCGGAUCUCUGGGCCUUACCUGACGCUCAGGCGCGAAAGCUAGGGGAGCGAACAGGAUUAGAUACCCCAGUAGUCC